CGCGUUCCUGGAAGAAAUGGAUACAAGAACCCGACAUAGAUGAGGAAAACGGCUGGGGCAGCAUCUAACACCUCACCUCCAUCCAUCAGAAUCUAAAGCUUUGCUUCUCUUUUCCCACUGUGUGAAAAGGGAUAUGUUCCCACUGAAGUUGGUUCGUUCUCUGGUUUCUGGCGAUAAUGUGACGAACAACCCUCUUCUUCUCCGUAUCCACCACGAUGAUCUUGAUGAGAGUGAUGAUAAUCACUGCAUUUCAACCCAAUCAAGAGCCAGAAUUCCACUGAUGCUUUUCGCUCCAACCCAAGAAUUGGUGAAAGACACAUACAGACUUGCCUCCAUCGCCAGAGUCAUUGGCAUGGAUCUUCGUCCCAACCCAUCUCUCUCACACAUCAUCUUCUCAUGGCCGUCGCCGCCGCCUCCAUGCCCCCCAUCGUCCUCGUCGUCCACAUCAUCGUCGUCAUGGGGUUCGUCGUUUGCAUCAUCGUCUUCGUAUUCGUGGUCACUGCCAAACGACAGUGUUCCAUUGCCGUUCCCCUCUUUCACCACUGCUUCGCUUUCGCACCUCCGACUCUUUGCCAGUCUCUCCAGGGGUUACUUCAAGCUGGCUUUCUUGAAAAAUAAUUGCGGCCCGCUUGAAAAAAUUGAGUCUUUGAGCAAUAAUAAUUGGCAUUGCACAUCGCUUUCGCUGUUCGCUUCGCGCACUGGUCAGAUGGUGGACUCCAUGGAUGGGUUUUCUAAGGCUUUGCUUGGAGCGGGAUGGUCCCUUUUCAAGUCCAAUAGCAAGGCCAUGGAUUUCAAGGAUGAUGAUCUUGAAAGGGAAGUUUAUUUGUAUAGGAAGUUGGACGUGAGUAGAAUUUGUAAUACCAAACAGAUGAGAAUUGGAAAUGGGGAUUCCGGGGAGUGCAGUAGAGUUAGAGAGUUGAAGUUGCCCUCAUUGGAUUUCAGGAAUGCGCCUUUGAGGAUUCUGCAGUACAUUCUUCUGAUGACUGAUGAUGUCUUCUAUCUUGCCUAGACUAAUUAAAUGAAGUAUUUAUACAUAUGAGUUUAGCCUUUUCUUAAGUGAAGUAUGAAAAAGCGAAGAUGACACCUGAAAUUCUAGUUAUCUGGGGAUCACAAGACAUUGAUUCUUGUGUGUUGCUUUAAAGAGAAAGUCGAGUGCAAUUGAUGGUUGUGAUACGAGAAGAUUUGCACCAAGUAUCAUCUUAGAAUCCAUGGUUCAACAAAAAACAAAGUUACCAAGCCCAAAAUUCCAUCAUCCUUCAUACUACGGAAGUAAGAUUCGAAGAGUUGCUAAACUGCUCUUCAGAUGAUGCCAAUCCAUUUUUGGCUCACUGUGGGAAGGUUGACCUGUUUUCUUGGGAGCAUAACCCAAUACACCAAAUCUUCAAAGUAUUUCAUUUGUUGUGCACAUCUAAGCUUCCACGCCUAUUUAUACCUUGGGUACAACAUGGUUUGAAAGUGAUUCUGAUCCAUUCGGUGAUGCUUCUGUUGUGUUCUAUUGGAGACAGGCAUUAGUUGGUAAAAUUUCAAGGAGAUAAAUUGAUGAAUUUCUUCAUGAUUUUCUUAAUACUGUGACUCAGAUAUCAGUUUUAGUGAUACCAUUAUCAUAUAUCCACUGUAAUGUCCUCUCUUGGAAUGCUCUAUUUCAUGAUCUACUGGUUGUAUACAAUUAUAAACAUGAUCAAAUAGUCUAAAAGCAUUCCUCGUCAUAACCAUAUAUUUUACCUGGUCUUAUCACUUGAAGAGUGAAUAAAGUGCAAUCUGCAACCAUCUUCUGAGCGACGAUAAAUACUCAUAAUAAAUGGUUCCCAUUUCUUGCCCCCGGUCACUUCUCUCUAUGGUUCAAGGCUGCAUGUGACACUUUGAAUUGGAAAGGCUGAAAUACUUAUUCUGCAUCCCUUUUGUGGUAUUAAUUCUAUUUUAUUUUCUGAACUGCUCAGUGUCUCGUUGUACAUAGUUAAGGCAAUCGAAGAAGAAUAAUUAUCUCAGACAUGAUUCAUGCAUCCUCCACCACUUAUUUACUUGGUUAUUAUGUGUCUAAAACUAAUUGGCGGUACACUUGCUUAUUUCUUAUCAAUGGGUUUGCAUAUUAGAAUUUUACAGGACAACCCAUAUACGCUAAUGUCAUUUAUCAUU